AAAGUCGUAACAAGGUUUCCGUAGGUGAACCUGCGGAAGGAUCAUUAAAGAAAUUUAAUAAUUUUGAAAAUGGAUUUUUUUGUUUUGGCAAGAGCAUGAGAGCUUUUACUGGGCAAGAAGACAAGAGAUGGAGAGUCCAGCCGGGCCUGCGCUUAAGUGCGCGGUCUUGCUAGGCUUGUAAGUUUCUUUCUUGCUAUUCCAAACGGUGAGAGAUUUCUGUGCUUUUGUUAUAGGACAAUUAAAACCGUUUCAAUACAACACACUGUGGAGUUUUCAUAUCUUUGCAACUUUUUCUUUGGGCAUUCGAGCAAUCGGGGCCCAGAGGUAACAAACACAAACAAUUUUAUCUAUUCAUUAAAUUUUUGUCAAAAACAAGAAUUUUCGUAACUGGAAAUUUUAAAAUAUUAAAAACUUUCAACAACGGAUCUCUUGGUUCCCGCAUCGAUGAAGAACGCAGCGAAAUGCGAUACGUAAUGUGAAUUGCAGAAUUCCGUGAAUCAUCGAAUCUUUGAACGCACAUUGCGCCCCUUGGUAUUCCAGGGGGCAUGCCUGUUUGAGCGUCAUUUCCUUCUCAAACAUUCUGUUUGGUAGUGAGUGAUACUCUUUGGAGUUAACUUGAAAUUGCUGGCCUUUUCAUUGGAUGUUUUUUUUCCAAAGAGAGGUUUCUCUGCGUGCUUGAGGUAUAAUGCAAGUACGGUCGUUUUAGGUUUUACCAACUGCGGCUAAUCUUUUUUUAUACUGAGCGUAUUGGAACGUUAUCGAUAAGAAGAGAGCGUCUAGGCGAACAAUGUUCUUAAAGUUUGACCUCAAAUCAGGUAGGAGUACCCGCUGAACUUAAGCAUAUCAAUAAGCG
rnacentral:rRNA from 1 species